rnacentral:rRNA from 1 species
UGACCUGGCGGCAGGCUUACACAUGCAAGUCGAACGAUGAAAUCUAGCUUGCUAGAUGGAUUAGUGGCGAACGGGUGAGUAAUGCUUAGGAAUCUGCCUAUUAGUGGGGGAUAACCAUCCGAAAGGAUGGCUAAUACCGCAUACGUCUUACGAGAGAAAGGGGGCUUUUAGCUCUCGCUAAUAGAUGAGCCUAAGUCGGAUUAGCUAGUUGGUGGGGUAAAGGCCUACCAAGGCGACGAUCUGUAGCUGGUCUGAGAGGAUGAUCAGCCACACUGGGACUGAGACACGGCCCAGACUCCUACGGGAGGCAGCAGUGGGGAAUAUUGGACAAUGGGCGAAAGCCUGAUCCAGCCAUGCCGCGUGUGGGAAGAAGGCCUUUUGGUUGUAAAGCACUUUAAGUGGGGAGGAAAAGCUUGUGGUUAAUACCCAUUAGCCCUGACGUUACCCACAGAAUAAGCACCGGCUAACUCUGUGCCAGCAGCCGCGGUAAU